UGAUCAUGGGAUAAUGGUAAAUUUCUGUCAUGGGUUCAACAGUUUCUGCAUAGUGCAUUUAUUUUAAUGCUUCUGAUUUAGCUGAGUACAGCUGAUCGUAUUUAUGAAUCACUUCAACUGUUCUGUUCUUAAGUUCUACUUGAUUUUUUUCUGCGUGAAUAGUAGGAUCAUUUCAAACCCCUUCUUACUGCUGUAAUGGUGUUCUAAAACCAGGUAUAUAUGCAAAGUCUCUGAGUACUGUGAAAGAUGUCUAGAGGAGGUGUUGAUUCCUGUAGAAUGACUUCUGACCAAGUAUUUGCUUUCAUGAGUCCCAUAGCAAUUCAGACCAGAAACUGAAGAUCAUUUACUCUAGUUACUUUUCUGAGACUUGAUUUUAUGGUACUGUGAUGGCUCAUAAGGAGAAUGAAAUUGGAAAAGCUUAUUGUAUGGGACCAGACAGUUUAAGUAUGCCACACCUCUCAUUUACUUUCCUUGCAGAAAGGUAGCACAAAGAUAUCAAAAAGAGGGUGCAUGCAUUUAGUCCAACUUCUAGUAUCGGGCUCUCUAAAACUGAAGAUGUAUAGCCAUGAAUGAUCUAAUAAUGAUUGAAUCAAAAACUGAUAUUUUUAUGCCCAGAAUAAUUUGAAGUUUGUUACAUAAUGCUCAGAUUAUACUGUUUAGCAGUAUUUGUCUUUUACUAUUAGACAGGACAUUUUGUUAAUGCAAAUGAUUCUGACUUGGGACUAAGCGUUGUAUCUUGACAGUGAGCUCAGCAAAGAAAAUAGUGACAAUUCUUCAGAUACUCAAUUUUUGAGGUUCAGGUGCACCACAUUUCCAUGUUUGUUCUGCUGCUACUGCUGCCAGAUGUUCUGGAGUAACCGAAGGCAGUAAAAUGGCAGAGAUGUAAGCAGCACUGAAUAGCGUUGCUCUUUCCCACUGCUGUGAGAAUAAAAGAUGAUAACAACUGGAAGGGGCCUACAAGAAUCUAGUCCAGCUACCUGACCACUUCAGGGCUAACCAGAGUGUGCUGAGCUUCUCCUCAUAGAACAUGCCUUCCAGGCCUUUCACUAGCUUUGGUGCCCUCCCCUGGAUGCAUUCAAGUAUCUUAACAUCCCUUUUAUAUUGUGGAGUCCCAGACUGCACUCAGUAUUUGAGGUGAUGCUGCACCAACGGUGAAUGCGGUGGGAGACUGCCUUUUCUUUUGGCUGGCUGGUUAUGAGCACACCCCGAAAUGCACUUUGCCUUCUGGACUACCAGAUGUAUGUACUUGUUAAUAAUUGUUCCAACGUGUAAGUAAAUGUGUGAAUUGAAGAUAAUUAACUGGUCUGCACUGGAUUACUUUCCUUCAGUAUCUUUAGGACUUGAGGCAUCUGACAUCUGUCUUGCAACAGUUUUUCCUAACUAAAGAUUUUUAAAGAUUUAUUAGGGCAUAGAUAGAUCUUUUCUCUAGAAUUUUGGAAGUCUGAAGGAUUUGCAUCAAGUUAAGAUACACAAAAUAAUUUUUCUAUGCAUAUCUUCCUGGGAUUUUCAGGAAAGUGGUCUGGACAAGUAUGGGGCUGAAGUCAAAUUGAAAAGAGGGAGAAGAAGUGGAAAUCAAAUAUUAAGGAAUGUUAUUUUGGUAUUUUUUGUAAAGAUUUUAAUCUGAAAACGUCAAAGAAAAAAAAAAAAUUGAAGAUGCUCUUGUUAAGUUUCAUAUUAAUUGCUGGAGUAUGUUUGGGUUUUGAGAGGUGUCUGCUCCUACAGAGAAGCAUAGAAUGGUUUGGGUUGGAAGGGUCCUUAACUCUCACCCAGUCCCAGCCUUCUGCUGUGACAGUGCUGCCACCCAGCAGCUCGUGCUGCCCAGGGCCUCAUCCAGCCUGGCCCUGAGCGCCUCCAGGGAGGGCUGUCCACAAGGGCUGAUUAGGAGGUGAGUUUACCCUUUAAUACCACAAGUUAGAGUUUUUGAGCAGUGUCACUAAAGGAAUGGAAGAUUCUGCUUUGUAGCUGGCCUAAGGCUUUAUAGCUUACUUAAAUAAUGGUACUGUAGAUCAGGCUGAAUUCUUGGUUUUCCUUAUUUUCUGAGGCAAGCAACACACACUUUGAAACAAUUCUUUUCCAAUUCAGAUUCAGUUUAUUGAAUUCCUGCAGAAUGAGGACAUACUUGCUGUCUUUCAUUGUAGAGAAACUUAUGUUUUUCCUUGUAAAUGGUAGAUCUGCCAGCAGGAAGGAGUGUCUUAGUUUCAUUGAAAAUAUCUUCUAAUAGAAUAUUCUAAUCGAAUGUAUAUCUGUCCUACUUUAUAAAUUCAAGACUGGAAAAUGUUGUGUGGAAAAUACUUUGUUAAACUAUCUGGGUUGGAUUUAAGUAGACUAGAGUGCUUUUGUUCUGUAUGCCCUGUUAAGGGAAACAAAAGCAAUUGGAGUAAUCCUACUAAGAGCUGAGCGUUUGAAUGUGAUGUAGACUGAAGCUGGAGAAUGCAAGCUCUUGAAAGUAACUACUGCUUACUUUGUGGGCACAGCUUCAUCUUGACAGAGUAGAUAAUAUCUUAAUGCCUUAAUUGAGUUUUUCAGAACUUGAGAUAUAUUCCUCAGCUCAUAAAUUCUGUUAUCAUGCACUUUAAUAGGAGCUUAGUAACCUCAUUAUUUUCCAUACAUUUGGGCUCUAAAAAGCUGCAUGAUUAGAGAGUUCUUCUAAAACUUGCAACAAGUGGAUCUGUUGAAUGAAAUUGCUGGCAGAGGUAGCAACACUGCACUCUUCAGUGCAGCUGCUUCUGGGCUCAUUUUUCAUUCUGGCUUAGCUAUGGUCUGCUUCUGUGGGCUGAAGAUCUCUUUGCAGCUCAAGCAUCAGAUGUGCUCCUAACAUUGUUCAGUUUGGUCCAAAACUUAUCUGGUUCAUAUUUUGAGAUUGCUGUGUAAUGAGAGCCAAACUGUGAAAAGUAGGAGUUGUUUGUAGGAAGGCUGUUUUCAAAAGUGCGCUCCAUUACGUGCUGAAGUACUGAAGUGAGAUUUGCGUGUAGUAUUGCUCUGAGUUUUGAAACUGGCUUGAGUGUUGGAAGUAGGUCGCAUGCAAGUCCAUGAGAUGCUGUAUUACCUUUGUACCAUAGUCUGAUUUAAUCCCUAGAAUGAUUUAGUCACUCAUGUUGACUGUGAAAUAAAACUAGAUGAUUUUGCAGGUCCCUUCCAAGUCAAAUGGAGAAUGGGAAGAUUGCUUUCUGGGAUCUAACCUACUGAAGAAUGGCUUUGAAAACAGUGGGCAGAAUCAUAGAGAAUAAGUUUUACUCUGUGGAGUGUUGGAAGUGGAAUUGCUAAGGCAGUGAUUGAGUUUUCCCAACUGGAAUUUCAGAGUUGGAGCAAAACGGAGCAGUAGGUUCAAGAGUUACACGUGUAGGGCUUCAGAUUGUUCAGAUUUUUAUUUCAUGGAAAUAUAGCUCUAGCUGAGUGGAAGUGCUGGAAUAGCAUGGAAGACAGACCGAAAAAUUAGAUCAGUUUCAGCGUGUUUUCCCCCUCCUGUACUGUCAUACUGUAAAAGUGCCUGAAGUUGUUAUUAAAGACUGACAUUCACAGAGUGUAUCUUAAUGUCUUGACCUCUAGAUGACAAGAACAGGUUGUGCUUUGGACACAAGGAUGGUAGCAUGGACUUAGCUAGAAUUUACUAGCUACACUGAGUGUUGUUGUUUUUAGUCUUUGGUGAUGUUGCAUUCUUUGUUGUUGUUUAAAUAAUUCAGUAUACUCGUUUUUGCCAAGAUUUGAAGCUUUUCUCUACUUUUGUGGCCCAGCAUAGAAAGUGAAUGGGAUUGUAAGUCAGUCUUUGGGGAAUAAGGCUUCAGAACCUUUAUUCUCAAAAGAGCCUCGGCUAAGCAGCUCUUUGUCACAACUUUAUCAAAGAAAGGUUUUAUAAAGGAUAUCCUUCAGAGGAGUACAGGUGACUCUGGAAACUUUCUCCAUUAAGAAAAGCUUCAAGCGUGCCUCUGCUUCAAAGUAUACAUUUUCCAGGGAUAUAGGAUUGCCUUGAGCAAAAGAUAAUCUUGCCAGCCCCAUUUCAAAGAGGCGCUGUAUCAAUAGAUUCCUUUGAAACUCAGCUGCAUUUAUCUGCUUAGUAGACUUCCAUCUGUGAAUCCUGUGAUCUAUUAAACUCUCCCUCCUCACAAAGUUAAAAAUAAUAAUAAUAAAAAAUCUGGCAAAAAUGACAACCAGGGGAAUGGAAACAGUCUGGUACUUGUGAUUCUUUUUUUGUUGCUGCUGUUUGAGGAGACCAUGGUUCUUAAGCUCCAGAAAAAGGGGCUGGAGAAUUUCCCUAUUGUGUUCAGCUGGGUGGAACAUUGAGUAGGUCUAAGUAAAUGGGUACUUGAGUUAGCACCAGAGAAGAGCAACUAGAACUCCUAGGGAAGAAGAGGUAAUGAAGGUUUAGUUCUUUUUUGUUUGAGAUCCUCUGAAAAUCAGCAGGUUAAUGGUUGGCUUGUUACUUAAUCAAUUAGUUGCUUUUGAAAAGUAUCUGAGAGCAGUGUGAGUAACCUCUGAAGUCAGAUGGUUGUUCUUAAGUGGGAACCAAAAGGAAGCAGACUUGAGCUUUUGAGUGCUCCUCUUUUCCUGCUCUUAAUUUUUUCAUAACUUUCAUUCUCCCCUGACACUGAGCUUUCUAGCACGUGCUUUUUCUUUGUAUCUCUGAAGGCCAUUGGGCUGUUGGAUGCUUGCUGCGUAUCUUUGCUUCGUGGGAAUAAAAACUGAGUGUGGCCCCUGAUUCUUUUUUGAGAAAGUCUUUUCUUUUACUGUUCCAAGUACUCUUUUAGUUGUAUUUACUUGCUUCUCCAAACCUAGUGGUCAGAGGAUUUAUAAAGCUCCACUUUCUUAUGGCACAGAUGACUUCUCACUCCUCUGUCAGCUACUGGUUAUGUAGAUGAAAUCCAGUUGCUCUUCUUCCUUGUGCAUGUUCUGGAUGUAGCAGUGCUUUGUCAUUCUUCCACAUUUAGUGCAUCUUCCAGCUGUCUGCUUUUGUCUUGUAACAUAAUCCUGCUUGAUAUCACAGCCUCAAAAGGCUGUUUGGCUCAUGGUGGCACAGAUGAGCGCGUUUGUGGGAGAAACAGAAGUCUUAAACAGAGCUUAUCUGUGCAGGAAAGAGAAGCUGAAGAGAUUUCAGUUCAAUUUAGGAUUAGGUGGGGGUAUUUUUUCA